rnacentral:rRNA from 1 species
UACGUAGGGGGCAAGCGUUGUUCGGAAUUACUGGGCGUAAAGGGCGCGUAGGCGGCAUGGCAAGUCAGGAGUGAAAGGCCUGGGCUCAACCGAGGAACUGCUUUUGAUACUGCCAAGCUAGAGUGCGGAAGGGGCAACUGGAAUUCCCAGUGUAGCGGUGAAAUGCGUAGAUAUUGGGAAGAACACCUGAGGCGAAGGCGGGUUGCUGGGCCGACACUGACGCUGAGGAGCGAAAGCCAGGGGAGCAAACGGG